UGUCAAGCCCGAGCGCGUAAUGAAAGUGAACGGAGGUGGGAACCUUUUAGGUGCACCAUCGACCGAUCCUGAUGUCUUCGGAUGGAUUUGAGUAAGAGCAUAGCUGUUGGGACCCGAAAGAUGGUGAACUAUGCCUGAAUAGGGUGAAGCCAGAGGAAACUCUGGUGGAGGCUCGCAGCGGUUCUGACGUGCAAAUCGAUCGUCAAAUUUGGGCAUAGGGGCGAAAGACUAAUCGAACUAUCUAGUAGCUGGUUCCUGCCGAAGUUUCCCUCAGGAUAGCAGUAACGUUUUCAGUUUUAUGAGGUAAAGCGAAUGAUUAGAGGCCUGGGGGUUGAAACAACCUUCACCUAUUCUCAAACUUUAAAUAUGUAAGAAGUCCUUGUUUCUUAAUUGAACGUGGACAUUUGAAUGUAUCGUUACUAGUGGGCCAUUUUUGGUAAGCAGAACUGGCGAUGCGGGAUGAACCGAACGCGGGGUUAAGGUGCCAGAAUGCACGCUCAUCAGACACCACAAAAGGUGUUGGUUCAUCUAG
rnacentral:rRNA from 1 species